GACUACUCAUGGCAACACUGGUUUAUCGUGAUGCGCCGAAAUAUAAUAUUCGAUGUGUUUUGUGGGACAGAUGUUGAGAUAGCUCGUUGUGCUAUUUAUCAGGCCGUCGUAUCGUGGAUCAGAGCAGGUAGUACGUCAGCUGGCAGGCUACCUGGUUCUAGGGCUUGCGAACAUUCUGAAAACCUGAUGGGAACAUACUUUGGUGUUUACGUUCACAACAUUGUUUUGUAUUCGAGAGCUCACUGUCGGAUUAAUUUUGCUAAUGUCAACAAACAAGGCGUCCGAGUUCGUUUUAUCAGCCGAAGGCUUUGAAUCUAGAUGGGUUUCUUGAUCAAUACCUGCAGUGCACUCAAGCCCGAUGCCGUAGGGGAAACGGAACCUAUGUAUUUUACCAAGAACGUUUAAUGGAAAAUAAGAGAUAAGACUUCCUGCUGUUUCUGGAUGAAAAAAAAAAAACGUCAAAGUCAUUAAAUCGGUUGGUUGCGUUAGUUCAGGAAUAAUUGUUGGACCUCAGAAUAGUUUAUUUUCCUCUUGGACAACGAGAGUAGAAAGGCGACGCACAGGUCAAGCUAAAGACGUGUGGGAUUCUUAUGAAAGCUGAAAGCAAAAUUAAUAAGCAGUAAAUCUGCAACAAAUUUUGAAUUACUUUUGCCUCUAUUUUUGCUCGUCGACUUUUGUUGCUGUAUUAUGCAUACGCAGGUCGUUUAACUUUAAAAGUGAUUAUUGAUUAUACUUUCACGCGUAUUUGUAUUUGUACGCGCUGAAAAAAAACCCGAUUUGAUUGGUCAGUUCGGAACUUGAUAACAUUGAUCAAUAUUAACCACGUGGUGCAAGUACGUAAUAUCACAAGACUUUCCACUUACACUCCAAUAAUACUGGAUAUUGUGAUAUGCGAGUAUGGAAUUAAUUAACUCUGUUUAAAAGUAACUGGAAAAAUGCAAAUUUAACGCAUUGUCUUUCUGGACAACUAGCUGAAGAAAUAGUAAACAAAGAAGUAUAUUUUACUCAAAUCAAAAUAAAAGAAACUUAAACGAAAAUGAACUCCUGGGCGUUAAUUCCAGUCAGCAUAUUAUUGUAUUACACUCUAAUCGUAUCAGUUCAUUAAUUGGACGAUGUCAGUAGGAAUUCACUUUGAGAAAUCAGAAUUUAGCAAGCAUCCCACGUUCUGUCGCAGUUAAUGGCGUAAUAAUCGCAGUUUAUACACCGCACGUAGUAAUGAGUACCAUCGUCAGAAGCACUUCUAUUCUAUUGUAUGUGUAACGUGCAUUCUCUGAUUGAUCUGCCAGUUUCUAUAUGUACCAAAUGAACUCCCUGGUGAUUCAUCAUAACACGAUUGCAAUCGCUGAAGUAUUUUCAUUGUAAUCAACAAGACAUCUUUCUCACCCCAUAAAACACGAACAGAUGAUAAGCCGAAACUACUCGAUGGAACAACAACGGAAAAAAUAACAACUAAACACCGAUAUUGACAGUCUGUAAUGUAAUGAAAUAUUCUGACAUUUAAUAAUAAGUUUAAUUACUUUAUUAUUUAGAGUAAAUUAUAUGUAUGUUACCAAUCCCCAAAUGUGAAAGUAUGGCAUUACUCCAGAACUGCAAAACAUUUAAAAUGUAAUCAAAUUUAGCAGGCAAAAUUAGAGCAUAUUAAACAUGCAACUAGGUUAAUUUUAGAAACAUAGUUCCAUCAUAAAAUGCGGUAAUAGCGACUGAUUAUAUUACAGUUUCAUUACUUUCACCAACUUUCACAUUUUACCACAAAUUUAAGCAUUAUUCAUGAACUAAAAAACACAUGUACAUAAAAGAACGUCGUUGUUUAUUAACGAAUAUUUAGAUAUAAACCAAGUGCCAUUUAUGUUGUUAGAAUAUUUAAAACAAAAUAAAAAAGAUAUAUUCAGAACCCAUAAUUGUUUUAAAACACUUAUAAUACGUAUUCAUAGAUUCAAUUUAAUUUGUUUUGCAGUAGCGCCCUCUAGACAUACCUUUAUCCUUAAUAUCACAAUUCAUAUAGCCUUUACCUACAUCGUAAUCGGUAUUUUGAUUGAACAUUUAACCAUCGUGCAGCAAAACCAUCGUGUGCUAAUUAAUCAUAUUAUAUAGUCCUCAUUUACUGUCCUAAUAAAACAUCUAAAGGGCUUUCAAGUAUAAUAUCACUAUAUUUCUAUCAAAAGUAGUUCGUGUAUCAAACAAGUUUAUAUUUUAAUAAUUUGCAUAU
rnacentral:lncRNA from 1 species